UACACAUGCAAGUCGAACGGCAGCGCGGACUUCGGUCUGGCGGCGAGUGGCGAACGGGUGAGUAAUAUAUCGGAACGUACCCAGUAGCGGGGGAUAACUACUCGAAAGAGUAGCUAAUACCGCAUACGCCCUACGGGGGAAAGGGGGGGAUCGCAAGACCUCUCACUAUUGGAGCGGCCGAUAUCGGAUUAGCUAGUUGGUGGGGUAAAGGCCUACCAAGGCGACGAUCCGUAGCUGGUUUGAGAGGACGACCAGCCACACUGGGACUGAGACACGGCCCAGACUCCUACGGGAGGCAGCAGUGGGGAAUUUUGGACAAUGGGGGAAACCCUGAUCCAGCCAUCCCGCGUGUGCGAUGAAGGCCUUCGGGUUGUAAAGCACUUUUGGCAGGAAAGAAAUCGCACGGGUUAAUACCUUGUGUGGAUGACGGUACCUGCAGAAUAAGCACCGGCUAACUACGUGCCAGCAGCCGCGGUAAUACGUAGGGUGCAAGCGUUAAUCGGAAUUACUGGGCGUAAAGCGUGCGCAGGCGGUUCGGAAAGAAAGGUGUGAAAUCCCAGGGCUUAACCUUGGAACUGCAUUUUUAACUACCGGGCUAGAGUAUGUCAGAGGGGGGUGGAAUUCCGCGUGUAGCAGUGAAAUGCGUAGAUAUGCGGAGGAACACCGAUGGCGAAGGCAGCCCCCUGGGAUAAUACUGACGCUCAUGCACGAAAGCGUGGGGAGCAAACAGGAUUAGAUACCCCUGGUAGUCCACGCCCUAAACGAUGUCAACUAGCUGUUGGGGCCUUCGGGCCUUAGUAGCGCAGCUAACGCGUGAAGUUGACCGCCUGGGGAGUACGGUCGCAAGAUUAAAACUCAAAGGAAUUGACGGGGACCC
rnacentral:rRNA from 1 species